ACAUACGAGCACAGGGUGUGGAAAACAGGGCUUCCCGUCCGCUCAGCCGUACUUAAGCCACACGCCGGUGAGUUAGUAGCUGGGUGGGUGACCACCAGCGAAUCCUCACUGUUGUAUGUU
rnacentral:rRNA from 1 species